rnacentral:tRNA from 1 species
GGGGUUGUAGCUCAGUGGUAAAAAGUUUGUGCUUAGCAUGUACAAAGUCCUGAGUUCAAUGCUCAGCACACACA